rnacentral:rRNA from 1 species
GAUCAUGGCUCAGGAUGAACGCUAGCGGCAGGCUUAACACAUGCAAGUCGAGGGGCAGCAUAAUGGAUAGCAAUAUCUAUGGUGGCGACCGGCGCACGGGUGCGUAACGCGUAUGCAACCUACCUUUAACAGGGGGAUAACACUGAGAAAUUGGUACUAAUACCCCAUAAUAUCAUAGAAGGCAUCUUUUAUGGUUAGAAAAUUUCGAUGGUUAGAGAUGGGCAUGCGUUG